UCUGGUGUGGGAAGAUGAUUGGAGAAUGGAUAUUUUCAUGGCCUCAUUGAAAGAGAUGGACAAAGGCAAUCCUGUGAGGCUUGUCCUGACUGUCAAUGGACAGCUGCUCCAAGGUGUCUCCAGCAGUACACCUGCUCACCCCUUCCUUGUCCCAGAGACUACCCAGUCACCAGUGCUUCCAGCAGAUGAGAGACCUGUUGGCCAGGACCUGCAGGAUCCUAUUGCGGUUAAGAGCCAGAGCUCAGAGGUA